AGAAGAAAACAGUGCUGGAGAAGGAGCAAUGAGAGAAGACAGGAAAGAGAGGUGUGUACCACAGCACACAGAUGAAGAUCAGAGGACUUCUCUCCUUCCACCAUGAGGCCAAGAGAUUGAACUCAAGCUGUCAGGCUUUGGAGGCAAGUACCGUCAUGUUUGGCAGCAAAGACCUUUACCUGCUGAGCCAUCUCCAUAGCCCUAGUGAUACAGUUUCAUAACGAUAAAUGCACUCUACUUUUUGA